GGAUAACUACGGAAAAGCUGUAGCUAAUACUUGCUUUAGCACUCUUGAUUAAGUUCUUGAGUGUGUACUUGUUAAGCCUUUUAAGAAAAAAGUUAUUAACUUAAGGAAUUAUAACAAAGAAGUAACACGUAAUGGAUCCGUCCAUUUUUAGUGUGUAUCAAUCGAGUUUCUGACCUAUCAGCUUUUGAUGUUAGGGUAUUGACCUAACAUGGCUAUGACGGGUAACGGGGAAUUAGAGUUCGAUUCCGGAGAGGGAGCCUGAGAAAUAGCUACCACAUCUAAGGAAGGCAGCAGGCGCGUAAAUUACCCAAUUCUAAAGAAGAGAGGUAGUGACAAGAAAUAACAAUACAAGGCCAAUCUGGCUUUGUAAUUGGAAUGAUGGGAAUUUAAAACCUUCCCAAAACUCAAUUGGAGGGCAAGUCUGGUGCCAGCAGCCGCGGUAAUUCCAGCUCCAAUAGCGUAUAUUAAAAUUGUUGCAGUUAAAACGCUCGUAGUUGAAUUUCAAAGAAUCGAUAUUUUAAGUAACGCUUUUAGCUUAAUCCACAUAACUGAUACUACGUAUCGACUUUGUGCGCAUUUUGCUAUUAUGUGUUCUUUUAAUUAAAAUGAUUCUUUUUAAGGUCUUUCUUUUGCUUCGGCAUUUGAAGAUCUUGUUACUUUGAGUAAAUUAGAGUGUUCAAAGCAAACAGAUAUAGCAUUGCGCGUUUGAAUACUACAGCAUGGAAUAACAAAAUUGAACAAGUCAGAAUUUUGUUCUUUUUUCUUAUUUUGGCUUAGUUACGAUUAAUAGGAGUAGCUUGGGGGCAUUUGUAUUCAGAUGUCAGAGGUGAAAUUCUUAGAUUUUCUGGAGACAAACAACUGCGAAAGCAUUUGCCUAAAAUACUUCCAUUAAUCAAGAACGAAAGUUAAGGGAGUGAAGACGAUCAGAUACCGUCGUAAUCUUAACCAUAAACUAUGCCGACUAGGCUUUGGAUGGAAGAUUUUAAAAUAAGAGAUUUUCUCUUCGGAGUUAAUCA
rnacentral:rRNA from 1 species